CUUUCAUGCUGUGGUUGCUUUGUUCUUUUUCUCUUUGCAAUAAGUCUUACUGCUGCUCGCUGUUUGGGUCCACACUGCCUUUAUGAGCUGUAACACUCACUGCAAAAGGUCUGUAGCUACACUCCUGAGCCGGAAAGACCACGAACCCACCAGAAGGAGGAAACUACGAACACAUCCGAACAUCAGAAGGAACAAACUGUGGACACGCUGCCUUUAAGAACUGUAACAUUCACCACGAGGGUCUGUGGCUUCAUUCUUGAAGUCAGUGAGACCAAGACCCCACCAAUUCUGGAUACACUGCUACAUCGGGUCCUCAUCCAAUCUGCCUGGUGUCCCUACAAGAAGAAGAAAUAUGGACACUAAGAAAUACGAAGGGUGCAUGCAGAGAAGAGAGCAUGUGAGGGCACGCAGGAGGCGGCCGCGGCUCUGUAAGACAAAGCAAGGGGGCUCAGUAGAAACCAGCUCUGGGCCGGGUGCGGUGGCUCACGCAUGUAAUCCCAGGCGUGAUCAUUUGAGGUCAGGAUUUAGAGACCAUCCCGGAAAUACGGCAAAACCCCAUCUCUACUAAAAAUAGAAAAAUUAGCCGGGCGUGGUGGUGGGCGCCUGUAAUCCCAGCUACUCGAGAAGCUGAGGGACGAGAAUUGCUUGAACCUGGGGCUACUCUGGAAGCUGAGGCACGAGAAUUGCUUGAAUCUGGGAGGUGGAGGUUGCAGUGCAACCAAGAUGGUGCCACUGCACUCCAGCCUAGGUAGCAGAGCAAGACUCCGUUUCAAAAAUGAAAAGCAGAAACCAACCCUGAUGACAUCUUAAUCUUGGACGUCAGCCUCCAGAAAUCUCAAAUGUCACCUCCUCCAAGAAGACUUCUCAGACUACCACCAAAGAGGCCACCAUAUUAUUCUGUCUCCUGAUCCUGUGUAGUUCCUUCAACCCUCUUGUCCCAGUUGAUCUGUUUCAUUGGGGUGUCUUCUUCACCCCAAGGCAUAAGUUUCAUGAAAGAAAAGAAUGUUGUUUGAGUCACUGCUGUAUCCUCAGAGCCUCAGACAGGGCUGGACACAUUAGAUGCCACAUAAAUGUUUGCUACAUGGAUGAAUGAGUAGAAUAGACAGAUGGACAGGUGGGAGGGUGCAAGGAUGUUAGCUCAGGUGGUCAAACUCUCUAGAAAAAUAACCCACCCUUAACAGGCAUGGUUGGCUUGAUCUCCAUAAACAUUCCCAUAAAGGAAACGUGGGAACUGGGAAGCCCAAGGCUCAAAGCAAGAAAUGACUAGAGACAGAUCACAGGUCACUCAGUCAGCAAGGGGGACAGUCAAGGAUAGAAGCUUCCUUGGGUGAGGAGGGGGCUGCUCUGCUCCCACAGUGGGCUCAGGGUUCAUACGGUCCUGCGGAGGCCUCCCCAGGCCUACCUCUGCUGAUUAAAGUUUCCCCAAAAAGCAAGCUCCUCCUUCUACUUGCCCUCUAAGCUUUCGGGGUACUAGAAGCUAAUCAUGCAAUUUUUCUUUUUUCUUUUUCUUUUUUUUUUUUGAGACGGAGUUUUGCUCUUGUUGCCCAGGCUGGAGUACAGUGGCGCGAUCUCGGCUCACUGCAACCUCUGCCUCCCGGGUUCAAGCAAUUCUUUUGCCUCACCCACCUGAAUAACUAGGAUGACAGGUGUUUGCCAUCAUGCCCGGGUAAUUUUUAUUUUAGUAGAGACGGAGUUUCACCAUGCUGGCCAGGCUGGUUUCGAACUCUU
rnacentral:lncRNA from 1 species